rnacentral:rRNA from 1 species
AGCGUACACGGUGGAUGCCCUGGCAGUCAGAGGCGAUGAAGGACGUGCUAAUCUGCGAUAAGCGUCGGUAAGGUGAUAUGAACCGUUAUAACCGGCGAUUUCCGAAUGGGGAAACCCAGUGUGAUUCGUCACACUAUCAUUAACUGAAUCCAUAGGUUAAUGAGGCGAACCGGGGGAACUGAAACAUCUAAGUACCCCGAGGAAAAGAAAUCAACCGAGAUUCCCCCAGUAGCGGCGAGCGAACGGGGAGCAGCCCAGAGCCUGAAUCAGUGUGUGUGUUAGUGGAAGCGUCUGGAAAGGCGCGCGAUACAGGGUGACAGCCCCGUACACAAAAAUGCACAUAUUGUGAGCUCGAUGAGUAGGGCGGGACACGUGGUAUCCUGUCUGAAUAUGGGGGGACCAUCCUCCAAGGCUAAAUACUCCUGACUGACCGAUAGUGAACCAGUACCGUGAGGGAAAGGCGAAAAGAACCCCGGCGAGGGGAGUGAAAAAGAACCUGAAACCGUGUACGUACAAGCAGUGGGAGCACGCUUAGGCGUGUGACUGCGUACCUUUUGUAUAAUGGGUCAGCGACUUAUAUUCUGUAGCAAGGUUAACCGAAUAGGGGAGCCGAAGGGAAACCGAGUCUUAACUGGGCGUUAAGUUGCAGGGUAUAGACCCGAAACCUGGUGAUCUAGCCAUGGGCAGGUUGAAGGUUGGGUAACACUAACUGGAGGACCGAACCGACUAAUGUUGAAAAAUUAGCGGAUGACUUGUGGCUGGGGGUGAAAGGCCAAUCAAACCGGGAGAUAGCUGGUUCUCCCCGAAAGCUAUUUAGGUAGCGCCUCGUGAACUCAUCUCCGGGGGUAGAGCACUGUUUCGGCAAGGGGGUCAUCCCGACUUACCAACCCGAUGCAAACUGCGAAUACCGGAGAAUGUUAUCACGGGAGACACACGGCGGGUGCUAACGUCCGUCGUGAAGAGGGAAACAACCCAGACCGCCAGCUAAGGUCCCAAAGUCAUGGUUAAGUGGGAAACGAUGUGGGAAGGCCCAGACAGCCAGGAUGUUGGCUUAGAAGCAGCCAUCAUUUAAAGAAAGCGUAAUAGCUCACUGGUCGAGUCGGCCUGCGCGGAAGAUGUAACGGGGCUAAACCAUGCACCGAAGCUGCGGCAGCGACGCUUAUGCGUUGUUGGGUAGGGGAGCGUUCUGUAAGCCUGUGAAGGUGUACUGUGAGGUAUGCUGGAGGUAUCAGAAGUGCGAAUGCUGACAUAAGUAACGAUAAAGCGGGUGAAAAGCCCGCUCGCCGGAAGACCAAGGGUUCCUGUCCAACGUUAAUCGGGGCAGGGUGAGUCGACCCCUAAGGCGAGGCCGAAAGGCGUAGUCGAUGGGAAACAGGUUAAUAUUCCUGUACUUGGUGUUACUGCGAAGGGGGGACGGAGAAGGCUAUGUUGGCCGGGCGACGGUUGUCCCGGUUUAAGCGUGUAGGCUGGUUUUCCAGGCAAAUCCGGAAAAUCAAGGCUGAGGCGUGAUGACGAGGCACUACGGUGCUGAAGCAACAAAUGCCCUGCUUCCAGGAAAAGCCUCUAAGCAUCAGGUAACAUCAAAUCGUACCCCAAACCGACACAGGUGGUCAGGUAGAGAAUACCAAGGCGCUUGAGAGAACUCGGGUGAAGGAACUAGGCAAAAUGGUGCCGUAACUUCGGGAGAAGGCACGCUGAUAUGUAGGUGAAGUCCCUCGCGGAUGGAGCUGAAAUCAGUCGAAGAUACCAGCUGGCUGCAACUGUUUAUUAAAAACACAGCACUGUGCAAACACGAAAGUGGACGUAUACGGUGUGACGCCUGCCCGGUGCCGGAAGGUUAAUUGAUGGGGUCAGCGCAAGCGAAGCUCUUGAUCGAAGCCCCGGUAAACGGCGGCCGUAACUAUAACGGUCCUAAGGUAGCGAAAUUCCUUGUCGGGUAAGUUCCGACCUGCACGAAUGGCGUAAUGAUGGCCAGGCUGUCUCCACCCGAGACUCAGUGAAAUUGAACUCGCUGUGAAGAUGCAGUGUACCCGCGGCAAGACGGAAAGACCCCGUGAACCUUUACUAUAGCUUGACACUGAACAUUGAGCCUUGAUGUGUAGGAUAGGUGGGAGGCUUUGAAGUGUGGACGCCAGUCUGCAUGGAGCCGACCUUGAAAUACCACCCUUUAAUGUUUGAUGUUCUAACGUUGACCCGUAAUCCGGGUUGCGGACAGUGUCUGGUGGGUAGUUUGACUGGGGCGGUCUCCUCCUAAAGAGUAACGGAGGAGCACGAAGGUUGGCUAAUCCUGGUCGGACAUCAGGAGGUUAGUGCAAUGGCAUAAGCCAGCUUGACUGCGAGCGUGACGGCGCGAGCAGGUGCGAAAGCAGGUCAUAGUGAUCCGGUGGUUCUGAAUGGAAGGGCCAUCGCUCAACGGAUAAAAGGUACUCCGGGGAUAACAGGCUGAUACCGCCCAAGAGUUCAUAUCGACGGCGGUGUUUGGCACCUCGAUGUCGGCUCAUCACAUCCUGGGGCUGAAGUAGGUCCCAAGGGUAUGGCUGUUCGCCAUUUAAAGUGGUACGCGAGCUGGGUUUAGAACGUCGUGAGACAGUUCGGUCCCUAUCUGCCGUGGGCGCUGGAGAACUGAGGGGGGCUGCUCCUAGUACGAGAGGACCGGAGUGGACGCAUCACUGGUGUUCGGGUUGUCAUGMCAAUGGCACUGCCCGGUAGCUAAAUGCGGAAGAGAUAAGUGCUGAAAGCAUCUAAGCACGAAACUUGCCCCGAGAUGAGUUCUCCCUGACUCCUUGA